rnacentral:lncRNA from 1 species
AUAGGCCCACUUUGCCCGGGCUCAAAAUCACAAAGAAAUAAAAACCAAAAAAUAAUUAAAUGUCCAUUUACAGAAAUUUAAACCCAGAUUAUUAAACCCAAAAUUCAGGCCCAAAUAUUAAGACUCGAAUAGCCCAACAAGUCUAAACCCAGCUACAGCCCAAACCCAAUUAAGCCCAAACUAAACGACCCGAAUCCCAGAAACCCCUAAGGUUUCUGAAAUACUCUCGUGCCUCAGCAGCAACAGUUUUUUUUGCCCUCGCGCCGCAGCAGAGUCAGACCCCGCGCGUGCUGCUCCUCCGCGCCAGGUCCACACGUACCUCCUCCAGGCCGUACCUGCACACAAGCAAACAAGCCAAAACAAACAGAAAACAACAACAAAUAAAAAAGAGCAAAAGAUAUUUUGUUGUAAUUUUUCGUUUUCUUUUUAUUUUCUAGCUAUAUAAAAGCCAAAUACGCAUUGUAAAAGGGUUACACACACAGAGGAUAUCAAUAGAAAAAUCAGAAAAGUAAAAAGGCUGAGUUUUUUUUGGAGGUGAUUUCCUUUUUAAAGUUUUCCUUUCUUUUUUCUUUCUGCCUUUCGGUUCCUUUUCGAUUCAUAUCUCCUUUCUUCCUUUUUUAUCAGAGAUAUAUAAGAAUAGAUAUAAAAAAAGGAGUGAAAUUACCUUUUAACGGCGCCUUUGGAUCUUCGCUCCCUCCGUCGCCGUCGGAGUCUGGGCGGAGAUUAAUCGACAUUCAGACGGCAAGAUUUUUAAGGGAAGAGUGGCUAGGGUUUUGCCAAC